AAGGUUUUAGUUUAUAAUAAAAUAUUAGUUUUGCCAAUUAGAGAAGUGAAUCUUA
rnacentral:tRNA from 1 species